CCUACGGGAGGCAGCAGUGAGGAAUAUUGGUCAAUGGACGAGAGUCUGAACCAGCCAAGUAGCGUGAAGGAUGACUGCCCUAUGGGUUGUAAACUUCUUUUAUAUGGGAAUAAAAUGUUCCACGUGUGGGAUUUUGUAUGUACCAUAUGAAUAAGGAUCGGCUAACUCCGUGCCAGCAGCCGCGGUAAUACGGAGGAUCCGAGCGUUAUCCGGAUUUAUUGGGUUUAAAGGGAGCGUAGGUGGAUUGUUAAGUCAGUUGUGAAAGUUUGCGGCUCAACCGUAAAAUUGCAGUUGAAACUGGCAGUCGUGAGUACAGUAGAGGUGGGCGGAAUUCGUGGUGUAGCGGUGAAAUGCUUAGAUAGCACGAAGAACUCCGAUUGCGAAGGCAGCUCACUGGACUGCAACUGACACUGAGGCUCGAAAGUGUGGGUAUCAAACAGGAUUAGAUACCCCUGUAGUC
rnacentral:rRNA from 1 species